UACGGAGGAUCCAAGCGUUAUCCGGAAUCAUUGGGUUUAAAGGGUCCGUAGGCGGUUUAGUAAGUCAGUGGUGAAAGCCCAUCGCUCAACGGUGGAACGGCCAUUGAUACUGCUGAACUUGAAUUAUUUAGGAAGUAACUAGAAUAUGUAGUGUAGCGGUGAAAAUGCUUAGAUAUUACAUGGAAUACCAAUUGCGAAGGCAGGUUACUACUAAUGGAUUGACGCUGAUGGACGAAAGCGUGGGGAGCGAACAGG
rnacentral:rRNA from 1 species